AUUGAACGCUGGCUGCAUUCUUUACCCCUGACUGUCGAACGUUAACAGUCCUCAUGUUUCUUACGUGUAGCGGACGUUUGAGUAAUUCAUCCGAACUUGCCCCCUCCUGCGGGAUAACUACUCUAUAGAGUAGCUAAUCCCCCAUACGAUCUAUGUAUGAAAGCGAGGGUCCUUAACUCCUCGCGCGAUUUUGCCCGCCGAUGUCAGCUUAGGUAUUUUGUGGGGUAAAGGCUAACCAAGCCAACGAUCUGUAGCUGGUCUGAGAGGACGACCAGCCACACUGGGACGGAGACACGGCCCAGACGCCUACGGGAGGCAGCAGUGGGGAAUUUUGGACAAUGGGCGCUAGCCUGAGCCAGCAAUGCCGCGUGCAGGAAGAAGGCCUUCGGGUUGUAAACUGCUUUUGUACGGAACGAAACGGCGAUGGUUAAUACCCGGGGCUAAUGAAGGUACCGUAAGAAUAAGCACAGGAUAACUACGUG
rnacentral:rRNA from 1 species